rnacentral:rRNA from 1 species
AAUGAACGUUGGCGGCGUGCCUAACACAUGCAAGUCGAGCGAUUCUCUUCGGAGAAGAGCGGCGGACGGGUGAGUAACGCGUGGGUAACCUGCCCUGUACACACGGAUAACAUACCGAAAGGUAUGCUAAUACGAGAUAAUAUGCUUUUAUCGCAUGGUAGAAGUAUCAAAGCUCCGGCGGUACAGGAUGGACCCGCGUCUGAUUAGCUAGUUGGUAAGGUAACGGCUUACCAAGGCGACGAUCAGUAGCCGACCUGAGAGGGUGAUCGGCCACAUUGGAACUGAGACACGGUCCAAACUCCUACGGGAGGCAGCAGCGGGGAAUAUUGCACAAUGGGCGAAAGCCUGAUGCAGCAACGCCGCGUGAGCGAUGAAGGCCUUCGGGUCGUAAAGCUCUGUCAUCAAGGAAGAUAAUGACGGUACUUGAGGAGGAAGCCCCGGCUAACUCCGUGCCAGCAGCCGCCGUAAGAC